rnacentral:rRNA from 1 species
UGGGGAAUAUUGCACAAUGGGCGCAAGCCUGAUGCAGCCAUGCCGCGUGUGUGAAGAAGGCCUUCGGGUUGUAAAGCACUUUCAGCGGGGAGGAAGGCGGUGAGGUUAAUAACCUCACCGAUUGACGUUACCCGCAGAAGAAGCACCGGCUAACUCCGUGCCAGCAGCCGCGGUAAUACGGAGGGUGCAAGCGUUAAUCGGAAUUACUGGGCGUAAAGUGCACGCAGGCGGUCUGUCAAGUCGGAUGUGAAAUCCCCGGGCUCAACCUGGGAACUGCAUUCGAAACUGGCAGGCUAGAGUCUCGUAGAGGGGGGUAGAAUUCCAGGUGUAGCGGUGAAAUGCGUAGAGAUCUGGAGGAAUACCGGUGGCGAAGGCGGCCCCCUGGACGAAGACUGACGCUCAGGUGCGAAAGCGUGGGGAGCAAACAGG